CUUUAAAACAGUAACUUGACGAUUAAUUUAAAAGGGAUAAUGAAUGGCAUAGCGCGAUUUACAGAUAAACUAUUGAUCAACUACUGAGGAACAUCUGGCAUAUUGCUAUGACCUUAAACAAAAAAGGAAAUCUCAAGGCAUGCCUACAUACCACAUGUUAGAAGAGUUUAAUGGCUGAAGGAUUAAAGAAUUUCCAGAAAAAUAAAAUUCUUUAUGACUUUUUGAAAGGAAAUAAAACACAAGGGACUAACAUAUUUGCUGACCAUCCAGUUGAAAGUAUGCCAAUGGUAUAAAGUGCAACUGUCACAAAAUAAGGCGAUAUUACUGCAAAAAUUCAUCAAGCUGAUUCAAACUACAAAUGGGAGUCAAGAAAAAAACUACAACUAACUGAACUGUCACAGUUCAACCGUGAGAAAUGUUUCGUAAAAGUAUGUUUUGUUGCCAUAACAGCAGUGAAGUGGUUAAAGUAAAACUGUCUUAAUUGUUUAAGCAAUACAGAAUAUAUAUUUUUAAAACUUCUCCAUGCAUAAAAUAUCUUGAGUGCUCUUUUUUAUUAAAAUUAAAUAACCAUACAGUUUCAAGAAAUUCGACACUAAACGCUACUUUUAUUUUUAUAAAAAAUAGUGCAUUGUUGCCAUGGUAUUAAACAUUAAUCUGACUAUAAAUUAUUGGAAAACAUUUUUCAUGUUUAUAUGUUCUAUUUGUCAAAAAAUUAAUGUAAGGUCAUAUUCUUUUCUAAGUAAUAACUGCAUCAACAAAACAUUAUGUUAUCAUUUGAAUCUGCCUUAAAAUAGCAAGAGUUACAACUGUGUUGUGGGUAUCAGAAAAUUAUGUAUAUCCCAAACAGUGUCACAUCAGUUUACAUGAAAUUAGGUUUUCUUACUUUUGAAUAUGAAAGUAGACAGUUUUCGAUGAAAAUAGUAUUUUGAAAAACACUUUUAACAUAUUCAAUUAUUUCAAGAACUUGAUAAAAAUGGUACUUGGGUAAGAAAAACAUCAUUGUUGCCAUGGUAACGAAUCACUGAUCAGUAUGACAUCUGUACUACUACUUUGAGCAAAAUCAGUUUAUAAUAUUUCUAAUAAUUAUAUCUUUUUCUUAACAGUUACAAAGAAAUAUGCCAAUGAAUCAAGUGUUCUAACAAAAAGGUUAAUGUCCUAAAGUCUGUCCCACCUAUUACGUUUACCUCGUUUCUGAAUUAUCAGUAUCGAUAAAAUCGUCCAAAAACAUAUUUAUAUACCAUACA